AUAAUGCUUUUUUAAAUUUAUUGUUAUGUUUUUCUCGGAGAAAAUAGUAACUUCGUUGAAAAUUUCUUGAAACUAGACCUGGAAAGUCGAGUUUGAAAAUCUAAAAUGUAGCAGAUACCCUGUAACUUCUUUCUACCUGACCCUAUUGGGAAGACGUGUUUUUAGAGAGAAAUACUGCCAAUUGUUUAUCAUGUCAAAUGUUCUGGUGGUGUAUUCGGAACUUAGGAAUUUAUAGUCUGAGGUUACUCUAAAUGUGGAAAGAAAUCUGCUGAAAAUUAUGUUCUACUAAAAAGAAGGAAAAAAAACGUUGAUUUGAUGUUUCUAAUUGCUUUUUAUUACAUUUAUCUGUCAGAUUGGCUUAUUUGAGCAUGGAAAUUGCAAUAAACCAAUUAAAAUCUUAGAGUAAGAUGUCGUAGAAAGUUUUAAAUGUUCGCUUUCAUCAUAAGCAUGCCUUAAUGUUAUUCGUGGAUGAUAUGUGCAUGAUCAUUGGUAUACAAUGUAUUUUUUAGUCUGAAGAAAGUGAUUUUGCUUGUUAUCAAACUUUGUGUAUGCUCUUAGUUUACCUUUUGUAAAUUGGUAAGGUUUAAAUGCAAUAUUUUUUUUACUGACCUUUUUGUCAUAACGCUUAAAUGUUCAUUCUUAAGAAAGAUUAAUUUUCACUUGCUCUUCUUAUUUUGUAUUAAUUGAA